rnacentral:misc_RNA from 1 species
AAUCCUCAAAACCCUUUUUCUUGUUAUCGGAAUCGGGGUUUUGGACUUGGAGGCUCAAUGCUUGCUUUUGCUUUCGAAAGCGAGCUCCUCUUAAACGAAUUAGUGGGGUCCGCUUUGUCGAUCCUUGACGUGAUAAGAUGUUUCUACGUUUUGGAUUUGGCACCGUAUUCUCCGCUCCUAACCGUCCGUCCCAUGGACAACGAUGGUGCUUCGGUCCCUGCCGUCUACUUUGGCGGGAGGCUUGGCCCACAAAACGA